rnacentral:misc_RNA from 1 species
GAAGGUGAAAAAUAAAGCUCGUGUGGAGGGAUCAAUAUGUAAAGCCUAUCUCAUUCAAGAAACAUCAACAUUCACUUCCUAUUAUUUUCAGCCUCAUGUUCAAGCUAUGCUAAACAAAGUUAGUUGGAAUGAUGAUGGAGAUGAAGUUGAUGCCCUUGAUGGUUGCCUGUCCAUGUUUGUGCACCCAGGAUGUCCGACUGGGAAGAUGAUAGAAAGAUAUUUGUGUGAUGAUGAGUGGGAUGUAGCACUCUUGUAUGUGUUGUUAAAUUGUGA